AUACGUAGGGGACGAGCGUUGUCCGGAAUUACUGGGCGUAAAGGGCGCGCAGGCGGAUAUUUAAGUCAGCUGUAAAAGGCAUGAGCUCAACUCAUGUAUGCGGUUGAAACUGCAGGACUUGAGUGCUGGAGGGGAUAGCGGAAUUCCUAGUGGAGCGGUAAAAUGCGCAGAUAUUAGGAAGAACACCGGUGGCGAAGGCGGAUAUCUGGAAAGUAACUGACGCUGAGGCGCAAAAGGGUGGGGAGCAAACAGGAUUAGAUCCCCUGGUAGUCCACGCCGUAAACGAUGAAUACUAGGUGUAGGGGGUAUCGACUCCCUCUGUGCCGCAGUUAACACAAUAAGUAUUCCGCCUGGGGAGUACGGCCGCAAGGUUGAAACUCAAAUGAAUUGACGGGG
rnacentral:rRNA from 1 species